GAUGAACGCUGGCGGCGUGCUUAACACAUGCAAGUCGAGCGAGAAAAGUUCUUCGGAGCUUUUCUAGCGGCGGACGGGUGAGUAACACGUGGGCAACCUGCCUCAUAGAGGGGAAUAGCCUUCCGAAAGGAAGAUUAAUACCGCAUAAUGUUGUUGAAAGGCAUCUUUUAACAAUUAAAGGAGCAAUCCGCUAUGAGAUGGGCCUGCGGCGCAUUAGUUAGUUGGUGAGGUAACGGCUCACCAAGGCGACGAUGCGUAGCCGACCUGAGAGGGUGAUCGGCCACAUUGGAACUGAGAUACGGUCCAGACUCCUACGGGAGGCGGCAGUGGGGAAUAUUGCACAAUGGGGGAAACCCUGAUGCAGCAACGCCGCGUGAGUGAUGAAGGUCUUCGGAUUGUAAAGCUCUGUCUUUAGGGACGAUAAUGACGGUACCUAAGGAGGAAGCCACGGCUAACUACGUGCCAGCCGCCGCAGUAAGAC
rnacentral:rRNA from 1 species